AAGUCGUAACAAGGUUUCCGUAGGUGAACCUGCGGAAGGAUCAUUAACACGUAUCCAAACGUUAAACCCCCCCCCGUGAACCUUCAUCCGCUCUUGUAACCAGCGUAGUUCGCAAUCUCUGAUAAAUCAUAGCCCGGAAAGUUGUAGUGAUUCAGAGACCUCUGGCUACGUGCGAACAUUGGAACAGUUACAAUCGAACUGUGUACACUCGGGCAGGAGCUUUGCCAAAGGGUCCCCAUGCCCCCUAAUAACCCCACAGUUUAAUGUGAAGCUCAAUGUAAUACAUUGGGAAAAAAAACCGAACAACUGUCAACAAUGGAUAUCUUGGUUCUC
rnacentral:misc_RNA from 1 species